rnacentral:rRNA from 1 species
UGGGGAAUAUUGCACAAUGGGGGAAACCCUGAUGCAGCGACGCCGCGUGAACGAAGAAGGUAUUCGUAUCGUAAAGUUCUGUCCUAUGGGAAGAUAAUGACAGUACCAUAGAAGAAAGCUCCGGCUAAAUACGUGCCAGCAGCCGCGGUAAUACGUAUGGAGCGAGCGUUGUCCGGAAUUAUUGGGCGUAAAGGGUACGCAGGCGGUUUAAUAAGUCGAAUGUUAAAGAUCGGGGCUCAACCCCGUAAAGCAUUGGAAACUGAUAAACGUGAGGAGUGGAGAGGAAAGUGGAAUUCCUGGUGUAGUGGGGAAAUACGUAGAUAUUAGGGGGAGUGCCGGUAGCGAAGGCGACGUUCUGGAGAGAAACUGACGCUGAGGUACGAAAGGGUGGGGAGCAAAGGGG